rnacentral:rRNA from 1 species
UUGGAGGGCAAGUCUGGUGCCAGCAGCCGCGGUAAUUCCAGCUCCAAUAGCGUAUAUUAAAGUUGUUGCAGUUAAAAAGCUCGUAGUUGAAUUUCGGGAUCAGAGUGUCGGUCGUGCCUCGGUACGCACUGGUAUUAUUGGUUCCUACCUUCUGAAGAACCGCGAUGUCAUUAAUUUGGUGUCGUGGGGAAUCAGGACUGUUACUUUGAAGAAAUUAGAGUGUUUAAAGCGGGCUUACGCUUGAAUACAUUAGCAUGGAAUAAUGAAAUAGGACGUUUGAUUCUAUUUUGUUGGUUUCUAGGAUUGACGUAAUGAUUAAUAGGGAUAGUUGGGGGCAUUAGUAUUCAAUUGUCAGAGGUGAAAUUCUUGGAUUUAUUGAAGACUAACAACUGCGAAAGCAUUUGCCAAGGAUGUUUUCAUUAAUCAAGAACGAAAGUUAGGGGAUCGAAGACGAUCAGAUACCGUCGUAGUCUUAACCAUAAACUAUGCCGACUAGGGAUCGGAUGAUGUUAAUUUUUUAAUGACUCAUUCGGCGCCUUACGGGAAACCAAAGUGUUUGGGUUC